UUAAACAUCACUACUAUCCAUCAGGCUGCUAGGAUUAGCAUUAUAUGAGUUCCAUCAGACUGUCCAACUCCUCUCCAAUUUCAGUUAUCUACUACCACUAUAAAAAGAAAGAGAGGGGCAGAUCCAAACAAUCCCACCCAUCCAUCAUCAAGAUCUAAUGACCCUUAAUCAUUUUGUGUUUAACUCUACCAACCACGCAUUAAGCUACUACAAUCAAUCUAUCGCUAAUCUGGCCCGCACUAACAAAACCGGUCGCCCGCACGACCUCCACCUUCUCCUCCCGCACGACCUCCUCCUCCUCCCGCGCCGUUCGCCUCCCACAGCCUCGCGCCGAGCCACGGGAAGCCGCGCCCCUCACCGCCGCCUCGCGCCGCCGGAGCCACGGGAAGCCCCGCAGGUCGCCGGGAGCCCGCCCCCGCCGCGCCGUUCGCCGCCUCCCCAGCCGCGGGAGCCCGCCCCCGCCGCGGGUCGCCGCCUCCCCAGCCACGGGAGCAUGCCCCCGCCGCGGGAGCUGUCCCGCCGCGGGUCGUCGCCUCCCCAGCCACCGGAGCCGCCCCGCCGCGCCCGUGGAACUGCAGUACUUCUUCCCCGUCUUCCACUUGGGCUCUAACUACGGCCUCCGCUUUGUGCACUCGGACGCAAUCGCAGCCCCACCAUUGCUAGCCUCGCCUCCCACCAGGUAAACGGCCCUGCUUCAUCAAGCUCUGACCCUGCUUCUUCUCCUAACUCCGGUCUCUUUCUUCUCCAUAUUCCAAUCUGUUCUAAUAGUACAUCAAUCCAAGCAACUAUUUUCAGAUCAAUUAAGGAAUCAAUCUUACGAUGGCUGAUGCUCAAUGCAGCGGAGGAUUACAGGUGUAUUGUCGGUAGUUUCAAUUUAAUCGGGUGGUCGUCAUCACCGUGAGGCCGCCGAUGUUUUUGUAACCCCCUAAGUUUGAUGUUUUAAAGUCAGAGUUAGUGAAGUUUGGUUGCUUAUAGCUAGACGAGUGAGCUUAAAAGUAGACUUAUUGUUGUGGUUGUUCAAAAGUUUUUGUUUCUGUUCUUGUUGUCUAUGCCCUUUACACAUUGACUGAUGUUUGUUUCUGCCAUCUGAAAAAGCCUUUUCUACCACAGUGUUAUCCCUCGGCGUCAUUCUCAACAAGCACCAGGACAUGGCUUUGUUUCUGCCAAAGCAUACAGAAGGAGGAGAGAGCAGCAGCGAGAGAGGAGAAGUUAAGAACAAGACACAUGCUUCAGAUUAACUCCUAUUUCUGAACCAAUAUGCUUUUGAUGAUUGAAUUAGAUUAAAAAGAAGGAUGACCUCGGUUUUGGGGACUUGGUUUUGUGAAUCGGUGUGUUAUAUUGACCAAAUAUCUUAGUAUUUGUACAAUGCGGCAAUAUGGAUAGACUUGUCGCUGCUUUUACUGGAUUGAUAUAUCAUAUUGUAUGUAUAAUUAUUCAAUACAUAUAUACUUGCAACAACUUCUAAUUGUAAUUUCUUCUCCACCUACAAAGAUAUAUAGAAUCAUCUUACAUAUUUUCAUGUUGAUACCUAAUUUUCAUAUCCAUACUGUUGGGGCGAGCUAAAACUACAAGGCCUCACAGUGCAUAGGGGCAUACAAUAAAGUUUUCAGGUUUGUCCCUAGAACUAUCAUAUCCAGACAAGAUAUUUGCUUGCAGAACCACCAGAGCUGAACCUUGUAGGUAAUUUUACAUGGUGUACAGGUUGACCUUUCCAACAAGUAUUAACAUAAUCAGUGGCAGGGCGCCCAUGAUCAUCUGUGAUUUGCAUUGAAAAUCGGGAGAGGAAGGAAAGAGAGGAGGAAGCAUAAUCUUGGGAGUAAGGAAGAUGCUGACAGCUUCUGCAUCCACAAAGUCCAUGUUCAGAAAAGGCAAAAACUAAUCCUUGAGCAAGCUUACUCCUGCAAAUGUUGACCAUCAAACAAUCCUCUUCAUGCCCUGUUGAAAAUAAUUUCUCCACCCAAUGGCAUCUAUCGAGAGCAGGUUGGGCGGCAGCUUGGCAGCCGGAGCAGGCUUCUAUACCUCGGUGUUCUAGGCCGCCGCGGCCAGGAGCUGCGUCGGGCAGGCUGGCGUCGUCGCUGAGGUUGGACACCGGCGGCAGUGUCGAUACAGGGGAGACCGGAAGCGUUGGUGGCAGCGCGAGGUCGUAUCGGAGGUGGAGGCUGCGGGGCGAGCCGUGGUGGGGAGAGGAUGCCGAGGGCGAGCCGUGGUGAGGAGAGGAGGCGGCAGGGAGAAGCGACAUGUGCGAGGCUGUGAGGUGGGCAGAGUGGAUGCUGUGCGGUGAGAGGACUGGAUUUUUUCUGAUAACUAAUGCUUUUUUUUUUUCUUGAGAAACACAUCUUUAUUAUUUCUAUAAGUGUGGCUACUGUGCGUGCCGGCGAGAGAAGUGUCAAACAGGCCCAACAAGCGAAUGCCCGUACGAGCCUAGGUAGGUCUGGAAGCGGCUCACUCCUCUCAAGAAAUACAGGAGCUGAUCUAGAAGACAAGUGAAUCCUCUUCGCACAAAACGGGUGCGUCCUUGCAUCCAGCAGUCUGCCAAAAAAAUAUACAUAUUUCACAUGAUUAUAUAUAAUUUUUGUUUGAAAUA